UACAUGGGGAGCAAGCGUUGUCCGGAAUCAUUGGGCGUAAAGCGCGCGUAGGUGGCCUCAUAAGUCCGCUGUGAAAGUCAAAGGCUCAACCUUUGAAAGCCGGUGGAUACUGUGAGGCUAGAGUACGGAAGAGGCGAGUGGAAUUCCUGGUGUAGCGGUGGAAUGCGCAGAUAUCAGGAGGAACACCAAUAGCGAAGGCAGCUCGCUGGGACGUUACUGACACUGAGGCGCGAAAGCGUGGGGAGCGAACAGG
rnacentral:rRNA from 1 species